rnacentral:snRNA from 1 species
AGCGUGGCCUAUCGAUCCU